AGCGAACGCUGGCGGCAGGCCUAACACAUGCAAGUCGAACGAAGUCUUCGGACUUAGUGGCGGACGGGUGAGUAACACGUGGGAACGUGCCUUUAGGUUCGGAAUAACUCAGGGAAACUUGUGCUAAUACCGAAUGUGCCCCUCGGGGGAAAGAUUUCUCGCCUUUAGAGCGGCCCGCGUCUGAUUAGCUAGUUGGUGAGGUAAAGGCUCACCAAGGCGACGAUCAGUAGCUGGUCUGGGAGGAUGAUCAGCCACAUUGGGACUGAGACACGGCCCAAACUCCUACGGGAGGCAGCAGUGGGGAAUCUUGCGCAAUGGGCGAAAGCCUGACGCAGCCAUGCCGCGUGAAUGAUGAAGGUCUUAGGAUUGUAAAAUUCUUUCACCGGGGACGAUAAUGACGGUACCCGGAGAAGAAGCCCCGGCUAACUUCGUGCCAGCAGCCGCCGUAAAAC
rnacentral:rRNA from 1 species